GUGGUGGGGUAUGGGGAGAGGUGAGGAAUAUAGUGAACCACAAGUCAUCAUCCUAUGAGGGAGUGAUGUAGGCAAGUUCACACCUGCAAACCCCUUCCAAUGGCUCAUCAUGAAUUCAGCAUGUGCAAGGCAUCAGUGUUUAAAAUUUUUAACCACAAAGGGGAAAACACUGGAAAAACACCCCCAAAUAAAGAUCCACCUCGUUAAUAGAGGGGGGAAAGGUUUAGGGUUUAAAAACCCACAUGCCUCAUUCAGCCUAAUACCCCAAGAU
rnacentral:lncRNA from 1 species